CACGUAGGCACCAAGCGUUAUCCGGAUUUAUUGGGCGUAAAGAGCUCGUAGGCGGUUCAGUAAGUCGGGUGUGAAAACUCAGGGCUUAACCCUGAGCUGUCACUCGAUACUGCUGUGACUUGAGUUCGGUAGGGGAGCAGGGAAUUCCUAGUGUAGCGGUGAAAUGCGCAGAUAUUAGGAGGAACACCGGUGGCGAAGGCGCUGCUCUGGGCCGAUACUGACGCUGAGGAGCGAAAGCAUGGGUAGCAAACAGG
rnacentral:rRNA from 1 species